rnacentral:lncRNA from 1 species
GGAAGAUUUUGGCAGCAGUGCAUUAGGUGAAGGGAAGUGAGCUUCCUUAGGGAAUUCCAAAUGGUCAACGCAAGGAGGAUGAAGAUUUGACCUAAAAGGUGGGGUGAAAACGGAAGGAGAGUAUUGAAGGGAAUUAUAGGUAAGAGAUAGGACGCAAUGCUUAUUGGAUAAAAAGAGAUCAAACACUGGCAAGAAGUGUAGAGAAGAAGGGUUUGCAGAAUAUGUCACGAGUAAUACUUAGAAAAUGAUGAUGCCGUCUUCUGGAAACAGAGAAGUCAUAGGAAAACCUAUCUUAGCAAAGACAGUGGUUUGUUUUCAUACGUUUCUGAGGUUGAAUUUCCAGGCAGGAGCCUGAGUAAAGCAAACCUCGAUCAUUUGAAGAUUCACCCUGAGAGUGUUGAAAAUAUCAUUCCACUAAUUCCAAAAUUGGGACCACAUUUAAUGGAGAAUAUGUGAAAAGGCUGGGAGAUGUUGAUGUGGAAUACUUCUCUAACAUAGUGCUAAGUUUUCUCCAACUUAACUUCAAAUGU